rnacentral:rRNA from 11 species
AAACGACUCUCGGCAACGGAUAUCCCGGCUCUCGCAUCGAUGAAGAACGUAGCGAAAUGCGAUACUUGGUGUGAAUUGCAGAAUCCCGUGAACCAUCGAGUCUUUGAACGCAAGUUGCGCCUGAGGCCAUUAGGCCAAGGGCACGUCUGCCUGGGUGUCACGC